rnacentral:rRNA from 1 species
ACUCAAAUGAAUAGACGGGGGCCCGCACAAGCGGCGGAGCAUGUUGCUUAAUUCGACGCAACGCGAAGAACCUUACCAAGGUUUGACAUCACCCGGAAACGUGCAGAGAUGUGCGCCUCUUCGGACUGGGUGACAGGUGGUGCAUGGCUGUCGUCAGCUCGUGUCGUGAGAUGUUGGGUUAAGUCCCGCAACGAGCGCAACCCUUGUUCCAUGUUGCCAGCACGCUCCUUCGGGGGUGGUGGGGACUCAUGGGAGACUGCCGGGGUCAACUCGGAGGAAGGUGGGGAUGACGUCAAGUCAUCAUGCCCCUUAUGUCUUGGGCUGCAAACAUGCUACAAUGGCCGGUACAGAGGGCUGCUAAACCGUGAGGUGGAGCGAAUCCCUAAAAGCCGGUCUCAGUUCGGAUUGGGGUCUGCAACUCGACCCCAUGAAGUCGGAGUCGCUAGUAAUCGCAGAUCAGCAACGCUGCGGUGAAUACGUUCCCGGGCCUUGCACACACCGCCCGU